GAUGAAGAACGUAGUGAAAUGCGAUAACUAAUGUGAAUUGCAGAAUUCAGUGAAUCAUCGAGUCUUUGAACGCACAUUGCGCCCCCUGGUAUUCCGGGGGGCAUGCCUGUCCGAGCGUCAUUGCUGCCCUCAAGCACGGCUUGUGUGUUGGGCUCCGUCCCCCCGGGGACGGGCCCGAAAGGCAGCGGCGGCACCGAGUCCGGUCCUCGAGCGUAUGGGGCUUUGUCACCCGCUCUGUAGGCCCGGCCGGCGCCAGCCGACAACCCAUCAUCCUUUUCAGGUUGACCUCGGAUCAGGUAGGGAUACCCGCUGAACUUAAGCAUAUCAAUAAGCGGAAGGA
rnacentral:misc_RNA from 1 species